UACGUAGGGUGCGAGCGUUAAUCGGAAUUACUGGGCGUAAAGCGUGCGCAGGCGGUUGUGCAAGACAGAUGUGAAAUCCCCGGGCUCAACCUGGGAACUGCAUUUGUGACUGCACGGCUGGAGUGCGGCAGAGGGGGAUGGAAUUCCGCGUGUAGCAGUGAAAUGCGUAGAUAUGCGGAGGAACACCGAUGGCGAAGGCAAUCCCCUGGGCCUGCACUGACGCUCAUGCACGAAAGCGUGGGGAGCGAAACAAGGAUUGA
rnacentral:rRNA from 1 species